AAAAAGGUUUCUAGCUGGUAAAUGCUAAAUCUUUUCCUCAAAAUAGAAACUAUUUCCCUAUCUUUAAUAAAUAUUGCUUAAACUGAAAUAUUUUCUGAAACUGCCUGUCACAGAAUAUACAAAGCAACAAGAAAUACAAAUUCAAAGUAUAUUAUUUUACUGGGACCUUUUCCAUCAAAAUAUUAUUAUAGAUGCAUUGAAGUACUUUCAUUUCAUGGAUGCAAAACUUAUAACUCCAAAGCUGUCCCUUAUAAUAUUCCAAGUCAACUUCAGUUAGUGGUAAGUUUUUCUACAGUCAAAUGCAAUCACCAUUGUGUCAUAGCCACCUCCCAUAUCUUCUUAAGUCAUUUCAAGGAUUUCCACAUUGAAUACAUCAGCCUUUUCAUGCUCAGCCAUAUGUUGCUGUGUACUAGCUUUACAAUGAGCUAUCUCUGCUGUUUUGGUGUCUAUUUGGUGUCACUUCUGGAAAAGUUAAAGUUUAUAUUAAAUUCAUGUUAAUGACCUCGUAUAGCAAACACUAGGUUAUUGCUAUAUUAACAUAUUAAUAGUGCAAAUAUUAAUAAUACUAAUUACUAUAUCAAUAAAUUGCUUAUACUAGAUGCCAUUCCUGGCAUUUUACAUAUCAUUGCAAUGGUGAGAGAUGAUUUUUGAUAUUUUGUAUGCUCAUCUCUUGCUCUGUUAUAAUUCUGGAUAUAAUUCUUAAUGGCUUCAGAAAUCUUUGGAUAAUUGCUAUGUUUGCACAGCUUAUUUUCUAUGUCAUUUUGAAACUGAGAACAUUCUUUUUUAAUUUUGCUUUUUUAAUGCUAUGUAAUUCAAGAAAAGCAACCUUGCACAGAGUAAUAGUUUUCCCUUGCAGGAUUGUGGAAUAUGCGUAACAGCUUCUCUGUUCAGUGUUCUUGUUACAGAGGUGUCAAAUCCCUGUAGCAGGAAUGAUGUAGAAUAUCAAUCUUCAUGGAUGUGUUGCAGAUUCAUGAUCUUCUGUUUUGUUAAAUGACUUCAUAAUUCCUACUUUUCUAUUAACAACAACAUAAACAGCUUACUUGAGACUGAAUUCAUUCAGAAACUUCCUUACUACUGUACAUGGUAUGCACUUCUCCAAAUAACAAAUAACAUAUCAGCUAUGACAAUGCAGUGUGAUCAAUGUCAAAUACAAUUAAAGGAUGAAUUUUGAGAAACAACAGAGACUUGCUAACAUCACCUCUUUUCUAAAGUCUUGACAUAUACAACACAUUAAUUUGGAGCUCUUGCUCAAACUUCAAUCUAAAUUUGGUGAUUUAAUGUAUAGUAAGUUAGGCUAGUUCUCCUACACUAAAGCCACUACAUGUGUUGUGGGAUUAAACUUGAUUAUACAAAGUAAUUUGAUAUAAAUGAUAACAUCACUUUAUUGCAAAACAGCAUUGUAAGAAAUCAUGAAUAAUGCAGAUUACUCUAACUUAAGUAUAAAUCGUUUAGGGCUAUAAGUCAUACUUUGUGAUACUUGUAAAGGCCAAGAGUAAGAUCACUUAUAACACAACCAUGAACAAGGGACUGAUGAUCAGUAGAAGCUAUUGAAAUGGUCAAGUUACGAGUUAGGGAAUCAUCAAAAAUUAUACAUAGAAUGUUCAAGAUGGAAAAAAGAAAAUCAAACGGAUGUAAAAGGUGGUGUACACACACAGCAUGGAAAGCAGAUGUAAAAAGAUGAUAAUGAGGGCUAUCCACAUAAAUGAAUAUGGUCAUCACUGAUAACUAGAAAUAUCCAGCAGUGACUCUAUUACAAACAUGAUACACAAAUGUGUUUCUUUUGUUUGGAUACAUCCCAGAUCAUUGCUGUAAAUUUUUAUGUCAAGUAAGACCCAAUUUACUUUUGCAUACCUUUCCAUAUUCUUCCACAGAUAUGAGAGACUCUACUCGCAUACUUUUUUUUAUUUUUUAGUAAAAUGAAACUCCACUCUGACUUUCACUACAUGACUCCUCUUAUCACCAGCUUAUGAAAAACCAGCAGAACGUGGAGAUUCCUCCACCAACUUCCUCCUUCAGGCAGCUAGUCACAUUUUUGUUUACUGAAUCUUUUGACUCUCAAAUAAAAUAGCCCAAAACUAUCACUCUUCAACUUACUCUAUUACGUAGUUUUAGAAUUCCAGUUUUCUAUUGAGAUAUUGAAGGCAGUCAUUAAAGUUAAAUUCUUUAAAGCAUACAAAGCUGUGUUGUAGGCAUUUGCCUUCUACCUUUGGAGAUUUUAGAGUUUUACUAUGAAGUAAUUGAUCAUCAUUUCAACUAUUAGAUGUUUUGGUAAGUUGCAAUACUAUACCUUCUUAACUAAUAGUUUUAAGAUUCUAAUUACCCAGCUGUCUUUCUGAUUUAUCUUAUUUGUUCCUGGCAUUUUGUUUUCUAGGAAGUUUAUUAACAUCUAAGUUACAUAAAUUGAAUCUAAAAUUGUCUCCUAAUAUCCAAGUUAACAUAAAUUGAAUCUAAAAUCAACACUUUGAUAAAAGACUGACUCUCCAUAUUUAAAUUUCUUUCUGUUAAAACACCCAAUAAGCUUCAAAUUUGUUUAUAAUGGAUGAAAUGUAAGAAAUAUAUUAGUAAUACUUCUUUUUCUCAGAUACUUGUUUUAUUAAGUAUUGAUCAUAAACUGUUCUUUUUCAAAGAAGCAUGCAUUUUCUUGGAAAUUUUAAAUUCUAUUGGUCAGCUGGUUAAAAUCUGAUAUUAGUUACAGGUUGGAAAUGGACACUUAUAUGACAGUGAUAUUCAAUUUUAACUAUUGCAUAAUGUUAAGACAAGGAGACUCCCCCCCCCCCACACACACACAUGCGUGUGUGUGCAACAGGCUUCUUUCAGUUUCUGACUAUUAAAUCUACUGUAGAAUACUGCCUCAAUAAGUCUCUGCAGCCCAUGCCAAAUAUAUUUUGAAGUAGUUUGCAGUGCAUGUUGUUUUUGUUUUAUUAACAUACACACUAACACACAAGCUAUAUGUGUGUAUAUAUACAGACAUGCAUGUGUCUCUUCUUUCUUCAUGCAACAUACCUACAAUCAUCAAUAAUUAUAGACUUCUAUGGCAAAGUCUUAAGAUCCAUAAUUUUUCUUGGGGAAGACAUAUCAAUUGAUUGCCAUUACCUUCUGCCAGUUUAUUAACAAUUUAUUUUUGCACAGGCCCUAUUUAACUCUUACUGUUUCAUGUGACAUCAGAAACACACCAAUAGGUCUGUGUGGCAUGUAUCUAGGAGUGAACCCUUCUCUGAGUCCUGUAUGCCUAGGCCACAUGACCAACUUUUUCUCUUUGAUUCACAACUAGGGCCUUGAUAGGUACUGCUGUUCUGGGAAGUAUGGCAACUAAGGGGCACCUCCAUACUCCCCAAAAUGUCUGGAUUCCCAAGCUGGAACCUCAUCAUCGGAAGCAGUUCAACGUUUACUCAUUUUUUUUUUUUUUUUGCUUCAAUACAUCUUACCUAGUAGUUAAGCUGGUAUAACUUUUCUAUCUAGUUUUAUUAAAUGGCUAUGUUAACCAGUCAUUACACUCUGAUGACCACCUACAAAUUUGGUUUACUACUAUAAUUCUGUAAUGAAAUACAGCCUAUGCCUAUUUAUAAUGUUUAGUCAAGAUCAAAUGUCUAUCUACAGUUUAAGUAAGACCAGAAGGAAAUUACCUCAUUAUUUUCAGAACAUGAAACAAGCAAAUUAAGGAGAAAAAGAAAACAGCAAUGACAAUAACUGAAUCUAUCUAUCUGUCUAUCUACUUUUUUUCUUUCUUUAAAUAAUUGUUGCAUCUCAGUGAAUCAUUCACUCACUACAACAUUGUACUUGAAUUUUACCUCUUCAGUUAAUAUCACAUAGUUAAAAAUACUAUCACAAAAUCUCCAGUACAAGAAAGUAUGUCAACACCUAUCUGCUUCUGUCCUUGUAUAAAUUACAUUCAUACACUAAACUACAGUUCAAAAUCUUAUUUCACACAAACACGUACAAUAAUUAUAAUUAGGAAAAGGCGAAACAUUUUAGUUACCAAUGCUAUCCUUUCUUGUUGCUCCUCUGAACUUAACUUCACAGCCACAAGUAAGCAAGGGUUUUUUAUACUUAUACUGAGGUCAACAUGAUCACCUUAAAUGCUUAAAAGUAGUACCCCAGCAUGGAUACUGCCUAAUGAUCAAAACCAGUAAAAGAAGUACUAAAAUCUGUUAUUAUAAUCUUGUAUUAUAUAUUGUAUAUCAUAAACUGUGCCCUAUCUAACACAUAAAGGACAAGAAAACAAAGAAGCCUCCAUAUGGUUACUCAACCUGCUAGAAAUAUCAACCAAACCCUCCUCAAUUUCCAUUCAUCUUUUAAAAAGGGUACAUUGGAUAAUGUAAUCCUGGAUGCACUGUCUAACAAAAGGGAUUGUCAGAGUUGGAGCACCAUUGAUCAUAGGCCUGCUUGAUCAGUGUAAACCUCAGGCAAAACAACUUCAUAACCACUUGCAGCCCAACCUUACUAAAUGCACAUAUGGAUCAUCUUCUGGUCAUUUUACCCUGACCUUUCUCCACCUGAGUUUUCUAAACUACAUCUUCUAAAACUACCUUCCUAUACCUGCAAUAUUUUAACUUAUACAUUAACAACUUUAGCUUCCAACUUCAUCAUCCUUUUAAUUAAAAAAUAAUUACAUGGACAUUGUCUAUCUCACUAAAAAACAAUUCUUUUAACUGUUUUGUUUUAUCAAAGAUUUCUAAUAAUACUUUUACUCUCUCUCUCUCUCAGUGACUUGAUCUGAAUUUAUGUGUAGAAACUGGAACUAUUGCAGGAUGAAAAUUAUUUUAGCCAUUAAAAUGACAAAACUGUUAAAUUCAGUUUAUUUCCUUAUUGUAUUCUGAGAUGUGCCACAAAACAAAAAUUUCUUUGUUCAGCAAUCUCUAACAAAAUUAUAUAUGUAUAUAAUUAAAGCAACAGAAAUGGUAUUAAUACCAAAUGGUAAAAUUUAUCACCAGUUAAAAGUAGAUGCUGUGUUAGAACACAGAAUACUGCAAUAUUUGCCAUCAGAGAAUCUCUCAUGAUUUUGUGGUACAUAUAAGCACUCUUAUUUAUACUGCUAGCAGGAGACAAUCACUGCCAUUGCUGCUACCACAUCAUGUGAUUUCAGCCUUUUUUUCCUGGCCUUCUCUCAUGGCAAAUAUCACAGUAUUGUGUGUUCUAACACAAUAUCUAACACAAGUGGUGAUAAAAAUGUUACCUUUUGGUAUUAAUAUUACUUUUGUAGCUUUAACUUUUUUUUUGUAGCUUUAAUUACUUUUGUAGCUUUAAUUAUUUGGUAUUAAUAUUACUUUGUAGCUUUAAUUAUUUUUUAGCAACACCAGUGCUUGAUUGGCACUGUGAUCCUACAUAUAUUGCUAGCAGGAUGGUUACUUCUAUUUCCAGUAGUCAGGUAUCUACCAUUUAGAAGGCCAAAAUCAUGUGAUCUGUUAGUCCUGGCAGUGAUUGUUUCCCACUAGCAGUAAAACAAGUGUGCUUAUAUGCACCUCAAAACCAUAUGAGAGUUUCUCUCAUAGUAAAUAUUGCUAACAACAACCACUUUUAAGUGGUUGUAAAUUUUACUUUUUGAUUAUAUAUAUAUAUAUGUGUGUGUGUGUGUGUGUGUGUGAGAGAGAGAGUGAGAAACAGAAAGAGGGGGAGAGACAAAGACAGACAGAUAGAAAGAAAGAAUAUUAACUGCAAAGUAUCUCACUGCCAAUACUGGAACAUUAUAUGCAGUACAUUAGACCUCACCAAUGUUUCAGCCAUUUAAGUACUGUAAAUCUCUACUUAGCUGUCCUGUAGUGCAUUGGGGUGCCCUACUCAGUACCUCACCUAGAGUUACUAAUUCACUUCUGUGCUAUCCAACAAGAACCAGGCUCCACUUCCCAACAAAUCCAUCUCAUCUAUCUGUAUUCCUGGCAUUAGUUUGUUACUAAGAUGCUGCAUCAAUUAUGUUUUCUAUGAUAUUUAGUUGUUAAUAUAGUUUCCAUGUCUACAGUUUUGCAGCUGAUCAGUAAAAUGUAAGAAUAUUUGUUGUUGUUGUUGUUUUUUUUUUUUCAUCUAUUGUCGUUUAAUUUUUUAACAUUCUUAUUACUGUCAAAUGUAAUGCUUUGAAGUUUUGAGAUUUCAAUGAUGUGACUGUUUAUUUUUAGAAUGACAUUGUAGCAUAGGGGUGAGAGGCCAGAUCUGGCCAGUUUGAAGAUAAAACAGUUAGAAUAUAUGGGUCAGAUAUAGCUGGCUUAAAUGCUAGUGUUAAACCCAGGUCAGACCUGAUUGAGUGACUUAUGAUCAGCAAUGAUCUUGUCAUAACUUUACCAUCUUAUUUUUAGAUAAUAUAUCUAGUACUACUGUAUCCAACAUAUCUUGUAUUCUUUAAGACAAGGGUGCAAUUUGAAGGGUAUUUGGCAGCUAUUUCUAGCAGGCUGGAAAAUUAUUUGGAGCCUUCUCUCUUUGGUUCUGUUUUUUUCCUAUCUACCUUGUUUUUUUUGUUGUUGUGUGAGAUAAGAUAUUAAACCAGUACUUUGUCAUAGAUGCAUAGUCAGACAGCAAUAAAGUAUGUUAUUUGGUUGUCCAACUUUAAUGGUUCCAUAUGGUUAUUUGAAGUUUUACUUAGUGGCUUGCAGGUUUGUUGUUAAUGAAAAGACAUUUAAAUUUCCUAUUUUUGUAAUAUAUUAUUAAUGCUAGUUUGAGAUGAGAUUUAAUGUUUGUCAUGUUCUGUUUUUUGAAGUCUUUUUAUGUUUAUCUGUUAUGUAGUCUAGAUGAUUUUUGGUUCAUAUAAACAUUGUCUAUGUGGUUUGUUUUUUUAUUAGACAUAAUAUCUGUUCUAUUUACUAUAAUAAACUUGUUUCUGUUUUUGUAAUUAUUGAUGCAAUAAUAUUCAUUAAUAUUUUAGUAUAUACUGAUGUAAUAUAUGUAUUAUUGUUUAAUAAUAAUGAGUGUGUUAUAUACAAUGCUCAAGUGCACUACAAGUUGUCAGAAAAGGAUAAAAAGAGAGGACAGAAAGCAACAAUAAUAACCAAAAAUUACAUGCCUUCUACAUAAUAUAAAACACAAAACAUCAGAGGUGAACAGUAAAAGAGUCAUAAAGAGUGCACCAACACAUCAAGGUUAAUGUUGGCAAAUUUCAGAAAGUAUGGAAUUUUUUAAGGAUGUAGUGUCCUGACAGUUAAGAACAAAUGUAGGUAGUAUAUUCCAUACUUUGACAAUUCUGAGUGGGAUUUUAUAAGCAUGUAUGGCAGAUGUUGAAUUCAAAACUGUAAUCAAAAUUAUUGGAAAAGAUGGUGGGGAAUCUUGCAGGUUUUACUAAGUCAGCUGCUAGAUAUUGAAGCUUUAGUGUGUCAAUGCCCUGAGAUGCAAGAUGUUUAAGAUAUGUUAGGUGACUGAUGGAAGGUAUGUCUCUGAAUAGCAUCCAUCAUCAUUAUCAUUUAAUGUCCAUUUUUCAUGCUGGCAUGAGUUGAACAGUUUAACAGGAGCUGGUAAUGCAGGGGCUGCACCAGGUUCCAUUGUCUGUUUUGGCAUGGUUUCUAUGGCUCAAUGUCCUUCCUAAAACCAACCACUUUACAGUGUGUACUGAGUAAUUUUAGUAUGGCACCAGCACCAGUGCUUUUAAUGUGGUACCAGCACAACUAAUAUUCUGGACAAGAUGAGGGUUCAGGACUUGAGAUGAAAACUGUAAGUGUAGAUCUACUACAGCUAUUUACAGCUUUAAAUAGAUAACCAGUGAGUGAUUGACAAAGUUCUUACUGCAUGAUGUUACAUUUAUACCUGAGAAUGAGUUUGCUGAGCCAUUGGAAUCUUUAGCUGUGUUGGAUGUAGGCAUUUUCCAAGAUGGCUAAGCUAUAUGAAAUUGCUUUAAAAAAUGCUAUUCUAGUAAACAAAAUCAGAUAUUUAAAUAGCUUACUUGAUUAAAUAAUGUCAUUAAAAAGGAGAAAUGUAUAUAGUUAGGUUUUAGUAUGUGCCUGUACACAUGCACAUUACAAACACACACACGUGUAUGUAUGUAUGUGCAAAAGAUAUAAUUUAAUUUACCAUAAUAGUAAAUUUUUUUGCAAUUUAUACAUUUUAUCCAUCUUUAUAUAUAUUUACACUUUCUUAUUCAAUGGAGAGCAGUUAAAAAUAUCCUCUGAGGCCUAAAUGCUAAUUCAAACUAUCUGAACUAUGUAGUCUAGAGUUAUAUAGCUUUGAAUUUCUCAUAUUUUCUAUCAUUUAGUUGUUACUCAUCUACCAUGUUUCUUCAAACUACCUUAUAUUUAUUCCUGCUGUGUGAAUUGUAAUCAGCAUUAACUGAAAAAACUAUCUUACUUUAUUAAUAUACACGUUGCUAGCUAUUUAGAAAUUUCAGAAAUCUUUAAUAUUUUCUUGGCCACUUAAAGUGGCAUUUUCUUUCUAUUUUUAGCAAUAAAUUUGGUUUCAAAUUAAUAAGUUUACUUAUCAAGGUAAUUUUUAUUAUUGAAAAAUCAAUUUUUUUGCAGGGUUUUAAGUUUACAUCUUGAUCAGCCAGAUCAAAUCAUAUACAAGCUGUGCACUUUGAACCUCUCUGUAAAUACACUAUCCCCCCCCCCCCCAUAUACACUUUAACCCAUACCUCUUCUGCAUAUGCAGUGAGAUUUAGCAUCUUGAUAAGCAUUUACUUAUUCAAACCUUUGACUGAAUUCCAAGACAAUCUAGCUUUCUUCUUUUAUUGUCAUACACAUGGGUUUAUCAAACAUUCUCUACUAUUAACUUUUCUUUGUUUAUAAACUAUUCAUCAUAUCCUUGAAUAGUCCAUCUUGACACAUAAUGAUGUUUCCUUUUCUUCUUUGUUGAUGACUUGUCACAUGACAAAUGAUUAUAAAGCUAAUCCUGUUGUCAAUGAUUAGAUAUUCGACAAAUGAGAUUGUUCUUGAUUCCUUGUCUUAAUGUUGUCAUUGGUGACAUUAUUUUUUUUAUCCCUUGAGCUCAUACAUCCUUCUUAAAGUGGGAGACACACUCUGAAGUGAUUCCAUACUGAGACAAUCAUUCAUUUGUGAGUCACUCCAACUGGGCAAGAGGUUUGCAGCAUGCCUUCAUUGCUUUUUUAGUGUGCGCUUUGUACCUCGUGUUUACAACGCAUAGAAUUGUUUUCAAGAUUGCCUGUAAGAGAUCUCGUCCCUCCAUAUUAGCCCAAAAUGUAUUGGAGGGAGUGGAUGUAAAAUAAAUCAGUGAUAGAGUCCAAGUUUCACAGCCACUCAAAACAAUUAAAAUGUAAACUACUCUAUAUAUUCCCAGCGUUGUGUGCAGUCAGAGGUCCUGACUAUAAAAUACUUCUUUUAUAAUGCUGAGGAAGAAAGCUUGGAGUUUUGAAUUUCCUCAUACACAUGUUUCCAAACUGACAAUGAUACUUCCAAGUGAAGUGAUGUGCAUUUUGAAGCAAAGUAUCAUCAAUGAGCAAUGCACAGAAUUUGUUUUUCCUCAGGUACUUGCAGCACUGACUUCAGUUUUUUUUUCUUUUUUCUUUUUCACAAUUAAUUUUUAAUUCUUACACAUUGGUAAGCAUUUGAUGCUGAUAUUAUACUAUUCCAAAGCAAUUGUGGCUGAUAUGGAACAGCAGCUGAAUCACCCACAUACUGGAGUUCAAAUAGUGUUUUGAACCUUACUUUAAGUCUACGAAGAUUACUAAAAACACCAUCUGAACAAUGACAAAUUUGAAUCCCAUCAACUGAAUUGAUAUCUACUUGUGAGAAGAGUGGCAAUGAAUUAUAAACAUGUUGAAGGGCACAGAGACAAGAACACAAACUUGCUUGACUCUAACAUUAGCAUCAAAUGUUUUGGAUUCUUUCAAGUAUUAUCCAAGUUCGCAUCCUUUCUUGGAACUGUCAUAGAAGUCAGAGGAAUUUUGGUGGAUAACCACAUCCCUGUAAAACACAUCACAAAAUAUAUCUGUUGAAAAUGAGAAGCUUUGGUUAAAAUUUAUAAAGGCAAAGUACAUAUCUCGUUGUCAUUUUCAAUGAUUCAUGACAAAGAGACAAGAAAUGAAUAUAUCAGCUGUGUUUUGACUCAAAAUUUACAGUGAAACUUUGGAAAAUCUCUGAACAAAUUGUUGAAAAAUUUUCCCCUCUGAUUCCAAGAUUUUUUUCUGCCACAUCAAAAAAAGAGAUAUAUCUUGACUAUUUCUAAUAUCAGCUCUCUCUUAUAUAGUGACACUGCUAGUGCAUUUCCAACAUAAAAGAAUUAUAGAGUUCUUUUAACAUAUAAUAAUAAUUUCAUUAAUUCUGGUUACUAAACUUACACUGCCAUAUUUGUAAAUUUCAUUUGGAAUAUUAUGUGUCGGGGAAUUUUCAGUUUUCCAGGUUUUGAAUUGCUGUCUGUAUUUCAUUUAGUAUUGGAUCAAAGACAAUUUCAAGGAGUUUUUUUACCUGUAGAUUGUUGGUAGAAUUACCCUAGAUUGAGUAGGAAACAGAAGUGCUCACCUCAUCAUUCAAGAAUUUACCCCUCGUUUUUUAUUAAGAUUUGUUCAUUAUAAGAGUGUAUCAAGUCAACUGUGCACAGCUAAGGUCCAUUUACUGUUUUAAGCAUAUUGUAGAACUCAUUCUUUAUUAGUGAUUGGGUUACCUGUGACAUAGUCUGUCAAUUUCAUUUUGUAACAUGUUCUCUAUAUCAACAUUUGGUACAAGUUCUGGAGUAUUAAGAUUUUCCACCAUAUUAAUUUUGAGAAGUUGUAUUUUGUAACACAUUAUUAGAAUCCUGCUUCUUUUUUCAGCAAUUAUCCUUUGUGCAUGCAAUUUUAGAUAAUUUAGUACUCUAGUAAUAUUUUGCUAGGAUAGUUUACAACCUAUUAUUGUUUUGUUGGUUUUUCAAAUGUUUUAUUGCUUCCCCACUAUUUUACUUUUAAGAAUAUAUGGCACUAAACCUUCAUCUGGUCUUUCUUAUCCCAGAGUGUACAUAAUGUUAAAUCUCUUCUAAUGGAAUACUAAUAUAGUCCUUUCAUAUAUUGUCCAUCUUUCCUCAGUUCAUGUUCUAUAUAUCAGCAUGUUAUUAUUUUUGUCUUCAAUAAAACUAUUUCUCUAUUUAUCCCAUCUUUGACAAUUUGGUAUGUCUGUUUCCAUCUUGAUUUCCGUUAAACCCUUCUUGCAGGGUUCUAGAAAGAUUUCAAUGCUUGUAAAACAGAUAAUUGAAAUGAAAACCAAGGUCUGGAGAGGAGCACUGUAAAAGUGUGACAUUUUAUAGUAAUUGAAUGGAAUACUGAGACAACUAUGCAAGAAAAGUACUUGGUGCAGUUCUGGAAGACAAGGAAAUAAUGCAAUAAUGAAGCAAAUGUUGAAGUGAGACAAAGUUGCUGCCCAUUAUAACCAGGACUUUUCAACAUAUUUCUUGAACAAAUCCUGACUGGUGCCCAAGAAGAUUCUGAAGGCACAGGAUUGGCAGAAGAUUAAUCACAACCGUAAGAUUUCCAGACAAUGUUGAUCUGUUAGCCUGUCCUAAAAGUGAAUUAUUUGAUAUUACGAUAUUAGAUAUUCAUUCAAGAAAUAUGGUGAGGAGAAUUUGGGUUAUGGGGAUGAAAGAACUGAGAUACAGACGUGAAUUGAAAUAGAACAAUUAGCAAAGAUCAAAGAUCUGGAACAGAAAAACAUUACAAUGAGUAACAAGCUAUGGCUAAUACAAUCUAUGAUAAGUGCAAUUGUUUUGUAUGGAUGGGAAACAUAGACAUGCUCAAAUAGCAUGGAGAACCCAUGCCAGCAUGAAAAAUAGAUGCUAAAUGAUGAUGAUGAGGAAAUUGUCAGUAUUCAAGAUGAGAUGCAUUUGGAACUGUUGGCAUUACUUAACAGGAAUCUCAGACUAACCAGUUAGUCUUAGAAUAACUUAAUGCAUUGAUUAGAUAAAGAGAAAGACUCGCAGAAAUAACAUGACAAAGAAAAAUGCAGUAUUUCAGUCACAAUAGUAGAAUGACUAGGUUGCUUGCAAAUAUAAUCAUGUCUGGAAAAAUAGAUGGCAAAAGGAGAAGAUGACAAAAGAAGAGAGUAGUUCAAUGAUAUUCAGAUAUGAUCUGGAAUAAGAACAUCAGAUUGUAUAAAAACAGCCCAAAAUCAAGAAUGAUGGAAAAGGUUAAGAAAGGAAAUUCAAAGACCACAAUAGGUAAUGUUUUGACUUGAUUUGACUAAUAUUUUGAUUAGCUAAUGAAGCAGUAUUAAAGUGUUCCAUGUGCUGAAUGUAGAAUGAACAGAAAUGCACAUUUUUAACAUAUCUGAUAAUCCAUCAAGCAUCGAGCCCUCUACAUGGGAUAAAUCAUUAGACUGUCCUAAAAGUCCCUUUAUCAAAUAAUAAUGUAACCAAAAGAUGAUCACUUCUUAUAUCAAUCUGCCUCCACAAUGUUUUGUACAUAUAUACUUGAUAAAAUGUUUGUGAUAUACAAUUUACUCUCUGAGUAGAAAGUGAGCAAACACAGGCCAUUUUAGAUCAUUUUACUAACCCUUUGUUUACUUCUUGAAUUGAAUUGAAUGAGUUUUCAAAGUUGGCUCUGUAAAACUUAUCUUUUACCUUUCGGUUGGUACUUAAGGUUGAUUCCUAAAGACUAAUGAUAGUUAUAAACUUGGUUCUUGGACAUAAGAAUAUUCAGUGUUGUUAUACAUUCAUUUAUUCCUACAGGGGUAUCAGGGAGGGUGUGAAAAAUUAGGUUCUUGAUUGUAUUGUUAACACCAUGAAUUUCUGGUAGAUUAGUUCACCAUUUAAAAAGUAGUGUAACCACUGCAAUUUAUCUGGCUUCCAUAGUUUCAGGACUGCAGAAAGAGAUGACUAAUUGAGAUCAGCUUCUGCGUCAUAUGAAAUCGGAGCAAGCAUUCUUUUAGCCCACAUUUACUAGGUCUCUUUAUAUGUGCUACCCUUAAAUAAAGUUGUUUACCACAUAGGUAAGACUGGAAGAUGUCUUUGCUCUGAGGACAGCAUUCAAUGACCAUUUAGUCCAUGCUAUGUAUUAUAUUGUAUGACAAUUUCCAACCAAUGUCCUGAGCCUGAUCCUAUUGUGAGCUUUCCAUCAACAAAGGACUUUAUGCAGAUAAUGGGAUGAGACUGCACACUGAGCUGUUUGAGGUAUUGAAGCUGUGCAAGCUUCAUCAUAGAAUUGAAGUCCUGAUAACUGUUCUCAAAAUGAUAGGUAUCUCAUGUUUGUUGCAGUGAGCUGCUAGACACCUUAUAUAUUGAGGUUCACUUUGAAGUUAUUAUUUUGUGUCAAAAUAGAUCUGUAAGCCAGUCCACCUGACCCGCUGAUCCUCAUUGUAAGAGCCAUAUGGCUAAGACUGUGAGACAUUGAUAUACUUGCUACAUGAACCACAGACAUAUUUCUAUUCUUGCACCAUCUUGCAAAAAAUUCAGGUUCUACAGCAAGGUGGUUCUAUGGAGCUGGUUAUAUUUACCUGUACCUUUCAACCUUAUAUAUUUUCUUUUUUGUUUUGCAGAACACUUUAUCAUAAUGUCAUAGUAAAAGAAAACUUACUAAUGUAUUUAAAAAAACAAAAUCACUGUAUAAAAACUUCUUAAUUUCUAUAACUUUCAUACAUGUUAUGUUAGUCUUACAUUCCCAUACAAACCAGAUUAUGAAUUAUUAUUAAUAUCUCUUUUGCCACUGUUGAUCUCAACAAUACUGUAAUUUUAUCUCUCUAACAUAUUUCCUUUGCUUCUUUUACAAAUUCCCUAUACACGCAGCCUUCAAAAAUGAUUUGUUUUAUACAUUUAUUAAAUCUGUUGUCCUAUCAUUUACCUCUUAACUCUUUCAUAACCAUAUUUUUAUCUCUAUACAUUUUUUAUCUUUUACUUGUUUCAGUCAUUGGACUGUGGCCAUAUUAGGGUUUAGUCAAAUAAAUUGUCCUUGGUACUUAUCUAUAAGUUUGGUACUUUUCCCUGAAAUUAUUAAGAAAUAGGGAUGUAAACCAACAUCAGUUGUCAAAAAUACACACAGAUAUAUAUAUAUAUGAUGGGUGUCUUUCAGUCUAACAAACUCAGUUACAAAGCUUUGGUCAGCCCAUGGCUAUAGUAGAAGACAGUUGUCCAAAGUGCUACACAGUGGAACUGAACCCAAGACCAAAUCAAGAACUUGGAUGGCUGUAGUAAAAUAACAAACUUUAUCAUUAUUAAGUUGGUGCCUGGAAUGUAGCAUAAAAUUAUAAUGGAAUAUGAACAUUAUAAGUUCACAUAGUAAAAUGAACAGUCCUAUGUCAGGAACAGAGGCAAUCUCAGGUGGGUUGGUUUCUGUAUUGAUUGUAACUAUCUGAGGUACAGUCAUUUGAUAGCUUUCUUUCAGUAAGAAUUUAUGAUUCGUUCUUAGCUUUGAUUUAAUAUUUUUGAAUUCCAUGUUAUUUUCUUCUUUUUGUUUCUUUAGCUACCUUAUUUUAACUUACCUUCAAAACUCGCACUUUACAAAUUGAGAUAAAAUUUUUUAUCUAAUUUAAAAAUAUUUGAAUAAGAAUGCUACUUCUUAACCUUUAUUGAUCAUAAUUUCUUAUCAUAGUAUGUUCCAUGUUUAUCCAAUGUUUAUGAAGUUCACAACUUAAAUGUGUGCAUGUGAAAAUAACUAUAACAUACUUUGCAAACUAUUUUAUUAUAAUAAACAUUUAACAUACUUUUAGGAAAUUAUUCUUUGAUAAGGGUUAAGUUUCCUUGAUACUGGAGCUAUUAUUUUUCUUGUGUUUUAUAAAAUUUAGUUUUAUUAGUUAACCUUAAAUCGGAAAUAUAUUACAUCCGAAAAGUUGUAUUUAGAUAUUUUGAUAAAAUAUAUUUUUGUUCUCUUCUCUAAAAAUAUUACACACAUACACUCAAAGACAUUAAAAAUAUUUCAUUCAUAUCUCAGAUGAAAAUAAAAAAGAAAUUACUGGAAUGCAAUGAAUUUCUUGUAUAUUUUAAGUUUGUGUAACAUAUUGAAUCUAAUAAUAAAUCAUAACUGCAAUCGGCACAUUCGUAUGUUCUGUAACUGUUAAAUGUCAGCAGCUAUUUUCCUUAGUAGAAUAUGGAUUUCUCUUCAUGUUAGUCUACAUUUAUAUAGUAACUAUAAACAACAUACAAAGAGAACUUCAUAUACUUUUGAACUCUAAUUUAAGUACAAUAAUUGAAAUUCAACCUGCCAUGAUCUCUAGGGAUAACAUUCUGCAGUUUAAUAAUUUAUGAAUCUGCACCACUACAUUAACCCAGAAGCAUAUAUUUUGUAUACUAAUUAAAUUACAAUAGAAACUUUUUCAAUCAUGUAUAGAGCAAUUAAUGAAAGUAUUUUCUAUUUCAGUCUUAACUGACAUAGUUUUUUGUAAUAGAUUCUGUAAGGACAACUACUCUAAUAUCUAUGAAAAUAUCACUAAGUUUAUUUUAAGAUGGUAUUAAUAUAGCUACUCGGAAGGUAAACUCAUCUUUAAAAACUAUAUCUGAUAUAUUAUUCAUUUAUAUAUCUUCUCUGUGCCACUUGUGUUGUUACUAGAUUGUUCCUCAAAACUUUUUGCAUAACUUGUAUUUUGACUGUCUCAUUCAAAUAUACAUUUUCCAUUCCAUCUUGAAACUCUCUUUGUAAAAUCUAUACAAAACACUUUAUCAUGCAGUAGCAAUGAUCCGGAAUUGCCUUUCCCACAUUAUACUCUAUGACAUUGAUUAUAUUUACAUCUUAGACCUCUAGUCCAUGACAAGAUUAUCUGAUUUCAAUGAACUUACUUUUGAGCUUUAUAGAUAUAUUUUACAUAACCAAGGUGGCUAUGCACACAAGUAAUGAUACACAAUUUUAUUCAUGUCUUCUUAACUCAAUAUCAUAAAACCUCAUAAUUCUUUGAACUUACUAGCAGUAUUUUUUAGCCUUACCAAUUGCUCAAAAAGAAUAUCUCUAACUUAUGUAAGUCCUUCAUUAUUUCCUAGUAGCAAUUGCAAUAUAUUCUUUAAAUAGCUUCCAUAUCAAUUUCUAUCACUUUUUCCUAUGUUCUCCUGUUAAAUUUCCUUGUGCUAAGUCAAACUUUCGAUUCUGUUCACUUAUAUUUUGACCUUCACUUUGUAGGGUCGAUUAUUUAACGCAAAGAACAUGGUUUUGGAUAUGUCUGUAUUGUCAAAGGGGAAGAGGAAUCUAACAUCUCAGGACUGACCAUUCAUUUGUGAGAAAAUAAAUUUUCCAACUAGUUGAUAAAUUAAUUUUGUAUCAAAUGAAAUGUCAGCCCUGAAAUGAUAUAUUCCCACCUCUGCCCAUGACAUAAACUUAUUCAAAGUCAUGUACUUCAUUUCAAAAGUUUUGUCAAUGCAGACCACCACCAGUUACUUUAGACUUUGUUUAUUAUGCAUUUAAACUAAAGUAAUUUUUGAUACCUACAUAUGUCAUUUCAUUAAAAAAUGCUUAUUUAGAUCCAUUUCUAGUAUUUUUGUCUCAAUUAUAAUUAUGACAAAUUUGGGGAAAAACCCACCUUCAUCCAUUAACAUACUGAAGCUAUUUAUCAUCUUGUCUAAUUUAUAUCUAUAUCCCCACACAUAUGGACUCCAUGUCUACAUACUGAAAUCCCAGGCAGCGUUUGACAACUGACUUUGUUUUAUCUAAUGAGUGUUCUAUCAUGAAAAAGAAAGGCUUUCUAGCAAUUCCAAUUUACUAAAAAAUUUUAAAUUUUUAGCUAAUAUCUGUUUUAAAGUUCAAAGAUUCAUUGAAUAUUAGAAUGAAAUCUAGUUCUUUUGUGAAUAGGUGUACAUUUUUCUUGUCAAAUCUAUGGUUUACAUUUGAUCCGCUUAAACAAUAUGUUCUAGAAUUUUGACAAUCUAAACCUUUCUGAAGCUCUUUUUAUAGUAUAUACAUUAACUUCUCAGUUGAUAUGCAUUGCAACAUUUUGCUUUUGUUAGCAAAAUGUGAGAGUUUACUGCUACUACAAAUAUAAUUAUUAAUUUAAUUAUAGGCAGUGGAGUUGAUGAACAGAAGUGCUAAAGUAAAAGAAUUUUUAUUUGUUUCACAAAAUUUAUAUUCUGCCAAAGUCAAUUUUACCUUUCAGCUCCUUAAGGCUGAUUAAGUAAAUACCAAUCUAUACUGAGGUCAAUUUAAUCAACUAGACCUCUGUACCCACUCCACACACACACACUUGAAAUAAAUGUCAUUUACAAAUAAUAAAUAGAGCUAGAAUGUAUCGGGACAUUAAACAGAUAUUGAACUAGAAUAUAUGCAGUAGAAAAAUAAAAUAAAACCCUUACUGUUAACCUCCUUUGCUGCUUGUGCAAGAGACAUUGGUAGAUACGGUGAAAUAAAAUUUAGGUUAAGAGUAAUAAAUGUUUAAUUUCAAAAUUAUUCAAUUGUACAGCAGCAAUUUUAUUAAUAAGUUCUUUGAUUUCUAAUUUUCCCACAUUUUAGUAUAAAAUCCACUAUUACAGUGAGUUAAGUUUUUGAAAUAAAAAAGGUGACCUAUAAAUUAUUCAAAAUAUCAUUCAUAGCACAUGUAUCUCCCACACAUGCAUAUGUACACAAAUGCACAUAUCCAGAAUUAUAUUUAUUAAAAACUAAUUAUCACUGUUCUCUUGGUUAUUAUUCUUUUAUCUCCAAUAAUAAAAAAAAAUGUUAAUAUCAUUUUCAGUAUUCCAAUUUGAGAACAUUAUUUAAUUAACUAAAUUACUUUCCCCCUAUGCUUCCUCAAAUGUUCCUUUCAUCUAUUCUAAUAAUAAAUUCUUCAUUCUCAUUUCAUGACAUCUGAAAACUCUGUAAACAAUAGUACAAUUAAAGCUAAAACUGCCUGUCUAAUGUCAGACACUAUACCUCCUGUACAAUUUUUUAAGGUUAAUUACUAGCCAUUGUUUUACACCUUGCAUAAUUUCCUUGUUAGAACCAGUUCUAACAAUAAAUAAUGAACCAAAUUUUUAUAAGCAUCAGUUGAUGUGUUGUAAGGAUUAUUUUCUCCGUAAUUUUAUACAUUGGCCUCAAUCUGUAUUCCCUCAUUGAACAUCAUCAUAAAAUGCCUUCCUGUUCCUACCCAUCUCAAACUCUGUAUGCACCUUCAACAGACAGCCUUUAUUUCUAAAGAUUUAUUCUCCUUCUCGGUGCUUCUGUUAUCUUUUCAACCAUUUUUUCUUAUACCUUGAUCACAUCUUUAAGCCAAAAAAAAAAAAUUAUCAAAAAAAUAUAUAUAUGGAAAAGGAUAAAACAUUAUUGUGUCUUUGAUGAAAGCAUUGUAUUUUUGUAUCUUUGAAAGCAAUUUUUCUCAAUAAAAUGUUGUUUGAGCUUGA